AGAGUUUGAUCCUGGCUCAGGAUGAACGCUAGCGGCAGGCCUAACACAUGCAAGUCGAACGGUAACAGAUCUAGCUUGCUAGAUGCUGACGAGUGGCGCACGGGUGAGUAACGCGUAUGCAAUCUACCUAUAACUGAGGGAUAGCCCAGAGAAAUUUGGAUUAAUACCUCAUAAUAUUAUUAUUUGGCAUCAUUUAAUAAUUAAAACUCCGGUGGUUAUAGAUGAGCAUGCGUUCUAUUAGCUUGUUGGUGAGGUAAGAGCUCACCAAGGCAACGAUAGAUAGGGGGCCUGAAAGGGUGAUCCCCCACACUGGUACUGAGACACGGACCAGACUCCUACGGGAGGCAGCAGUGAGGAAUAUUGCACAAUGGAGGAAACUCUGAUGCAGCCAUGCCGCGUGCAGGAUGACGGCCCUAUGGGUUGUAAACUGCUUUUUUACAAGAAGAAACCUUGGUACGUGUACCAACUUGACGGUAUUGUAAGAAUAAGCACCGGCUAACUCCGUGCCAGCAGCCGCGGUAAUACGGAGGGUGCAAGCGUUAUCCGGAUUUAUUAGGUUUAAAGGGUUCGCAGGCGGAAUUUUAAGUCAGUGGUGAAAGCCUACAGCUCAACUGUAGAACUGCCAUUGAUACUGAUAUUCUUGAGUAUAGAUGAAGUGGGCGGAAUAUGUCAUGUAGCGGUGAAAUGC
rnacentral:rRNA from 1 species